UAGAUUGGUAUUUUCUGUAUAUGGGUCAAAUGUCAUUAAUGUAACCGGGUUUAUGAACAUGGCGGCCCGGUGUCUACAUGUCGGUUGGGUCGUAGAGCGCAGAGAACGGCACACAAUGAGAACACGCUAGACAACCGCGUGCUUUGAACACAAAGACACGUGCUUGAGUCUCGGCGUCGCUAUGGAAACGCGACGGCGCGCAUUCUCUGCCACGGCUGGGCUCGUUGGCUGCUUUAGGGCACCUCCCCUCAAAACGCGCCGUUUUUUGUUUUUUUUUGACAACUUGUCACGCGCUUUCAAAUCGGCACCAGGAAGUAAAAAGCUGCGAGCAGGUCUGUGUUUACAGCUCCGGUUCCCGGGACCCAGUUCCUCCAACGCUCCGCAGCCUCGCGGCCGCUCGCCGGGCCUCCGUCGUCGUCUUUGUGUCCUCUCCACCGCCACGACUCCAGGAAUGAAUUAUAAAACAGCAAUACGAACCGAGCGAGCGCACCACAACGUUGACACAAGCGCGUGUAGAGCCCAGCACACCACUCGUCCCCUCGUGCCCACAACUGGAGAAGGGCUAAUUGUUGCCGCUGAUGCUUUGCUGCCCGUCUCCUGCUCCCAGGAGAACCGCGCUGGUUCGUCCGGCGCUCUGGUUCUCCACAGCGAACCACGGCGAGCAUUAAUCGGUGGAUCCUCCGCGCUGCACCCGCUGCGAGUCCGCGCGCCGCCUCGGUGCCGCAACCCCAUCAUCGCUCCCAUCUGAAAUCUCCUCUGACGGGGCCAGCAGCUCUGAGCUCCUGGUUAUCAUUUAUCAUCCCAGCAGAUUGGCUGGCGGGCCGCGCGGCAGACUGAUGGGUCAUCCUCAUGCUGGGGACCUGGCUGGAGCAGAGCCGCGGCACGGCGCGUCGUCUGCAUGGAUGGAGAGCUGAGAAAUGGAGCGGAGGGUUUGUCAUUAAAGAGAGGGGAGGGACCCCUUUAAUUCAUCCUGCUUAUCAUGCAGCGUAAGUGCUUCAGACAGCUCCAAUAUCAUAUUAGCACACCUGCACAGGCCCCAGGAGGAAACAAUGGAACGUCUUA
rnacentral:lncRNA from 1 species